CUUGAAUCCCUUUGUCCAUUCCCCAGCCUCUGAGGUCUAUAAUGAGAGAGAAUAAACACGGCUUUAUCGCCAGGGAGGAUUUAAACAGACAAGCGCGGGAGGAGAGCUUAACAGUUUCAAGGACAAGAGGUUUUGUGAAGCACUCAACCACCUGACUCCAUUUUGACUGGUUUGUAUUGGUUUGGGGCUGAGCUGGUGGUCUUUUCUUCAGAUUUUGCUUUUAAGAAGGAAGCCAGUUUGGAAGACAGCCUGCCCACAAAAUACUUGGAAGAUUCCAGCUCGUCUUUGGAGGAAGGGUUCAGGGGCCAGUGUGGAGGGCUUCCGCUACGAUUUUCAACCACAGCAAUG